rnacentral:rRNA from 1 species
AGCAGCCGCGGUAAUUCCAGCUCCAAUAGCGUAUAUUAAAGUUGUUGCAGUUAAAAAGCUCGUAGUUGAAUUUCGGGAUCAAAUUGUCGGUCGUGCCUCGGUACGUACUGGUAUUAUUGGUUCCUACCUUCUGAAGAACCGCGAUGUCAUUAAUUUGGUGUCGUGGGGAAUCAGGACUGUUACUUUGAAAAAAUUAGAGUGUUUAAAGCAGGCUUACGCUUGAAUACAUUAGCAUGGAAUAAUGAAAUAGGACGUUUGAUUCUAUUUUGUUGGUUUCUAGGAUUGACGUAAUGAUUAAUAGGGAUAGUUGGGGGCAUUAGUAUUCAAUUGUCAGAGGUGAAAUUCUUGGAUUUAUUGAAGACUAACUACUGCGAAAGCAUUUGCCAAGGAUGUUUUCAUUAAUCAAGAACGAAAGUUAGGGGAUCGAAGACGAUCAGAUACCGUCGUAGU